AGAGUUUGAUCCUGGCUCAGGAUGAACGCUGACAGAAUGCUUAACACAUGCAAGUCUACUUGAUCCUUCGGGUGAUGGUGGCGGACGGGUGAGUAACGCGUAAAGAACUUGCCUUGCAGUCUGGGACAACGUCUGGAAACGGACGCUAAUACCGGAUAUUAUGAUUGAAUCGCAUGAUUUGAUUAUGAAAGCUAUAUGCGCUGCGAGAGAGCUUUGCGUCCCAUUAGGUAGUUGGUGGGGUAACGGCCUACCAAGCCGACGAUCAGUAGCCGGCCUGAGAGGGUGAACGGCCACAUUGGGACUGAGACACGGCCCAGACUCCUACGGGAGGCAGCAGUGGGGAAUAUUGCACAAUGGGCGCAAGCCUGAUGCAGCAACGCCGCGUGAGCGAUGAAGGCCUUCGGGUCGUAAAGCUCUGUCCUCAAGGAAGAUAAUGACGGUACUUGAGGAGGAAGCCCCGGCUAACUACGUGCCAGCAGCCGCGGUAAUACGUAGGGGGCUAGCGUUAUCCGGAUUUACUGGGCGUAAAGGGUGCGCAGGCGGCAUAUCAAGUCUGAAGUGAAAGGUACGGGCUCAACCUGUACAGGCUUUGGAAACUGGUAUGCUCGAGGACAGGAGAGGGCGGUGGAACUCCACGUGUAGCGGUAAAAUGCGUAGAGAUGUGGAAGAACACCAGUGGCGAAGGCGGCCGCCUGGCCUGUAACUGACGCUCAGGCACGAAAGCGUGGGGAGCAAAUAGGAUUAGAUACCCUAGUAGUCCACGCUGUAAACGAUGAAUACUAGGUGUGGGAGGACUGACCCCUUCCGUGCCGCAGUUAACACAAUAAGUAUUCCACCUGGGGAGUACGACCGCAAGGUUGAAACUCAAAGGAAUUGACGGGGGCCCGCACAAGCAGUGGAUUAUGUGGUUUAAUUCGACGCAACGCGAAGAACCUUACCAGGAUUUGACAUCCUACUAACGAAGCAGAGAUGCAUUAGGUGCCCUUCGGGGAAAGUAGAGACAGGUGGUGCAUGGUUGUCGUCAGCUCGUGUCGUGAGAUGUUGGGUUAAGUCCCGCAACGAGCGCAACCCCUAUUGUUAGUUGCUACGCAAGAGCACUCUAGCGAGACUGCCGUUGACAAAACGGAGGAAGGCGGGGACGACGUCAAAUCAUCAUGCCCCUUAUGUCCUGGGCUACACACGUAAUACAAUGGUGGUUAACAGAGGGAAGCAAGACUGCGAAGUGGAGCAAAUCCCUAAAAGCCAUCUCAGUUCGGAUUGCAGGCUGCAACUCGCCUGCACGAAGCUGGAAUCGCUAGUAAU
rnacentral:rRNA from 1 species